rnacentral:ncRNA from 1 species
CAUCUUCGGGGCAGGGUGAAAAUCCCGACCGGCGGUAAUAGAGUCAUAAAUCGCUAAUGAAUAUAUUCAUUAGCUCGCUUGAUUUAUGUUAAACUCUUCAGCCCGCGACCUGUGCGAAUUUUCGCAUGGCUGACUUGGUGAAAUUCCAAGGCCGACAGUUAAAGUCUGGAUGGGAGAAGAUG